rnacentral:lncRNA from 1 species
GGCCAGGGUAAUGAGAAUUAUUCAAACGCAAUCAUAAAAAUGAGGCCAGUCAGGCAGGAAUGGGAUGGGGGUGGGGGGGAGGGUGGAGGGUGGAGGGAAGGAUUUCUUGCCAGUUUUAAGUUUCAUAAUUUCUGGCGAGUUCUCUUGGGGUGCACAGAAAAUUUCACCUCAUCUCCAUCCCCCUCAGCACAGAUGUCUUGAAACUCUGCUUCAAUUGUUUGCUGAAGAGGACUUGGCGCCGGGGCGGGGACAGCGUUCGCGAGAUCCUUGGGGGUCCGCUGCCUUCCUCACUGAGAGGCAACCUCCCGUUCGGAGGCUUUCUCUCCUGCGCUGUUCCGCCUCGCCGCCAGCAGGAGCAGGCCCGCGCCUGACGUCUUAGAAAAGCCUCCAGUAGAGGGAGACACUCCAGCGGCUCCUCCGACUUGGAAGCGGCCGGGCCGGGAGUGGGUGGGGGUGAUGGGGGGGUGGGGAGAGAGGGGGAGUGGGGAGAGGGGAGGUGUGUGAAGGGGGGGUGCUCCGGGGGGCGGGUCCCUGUGCCGCUGACGUCCCGAGCAGUGCUGGGAAGUAUAGGCUGUGUUGUCACGCCGGUGUCAGUCUGAUGAAGAUUGGCAUCAGGUGAAGUCUGGAGCAGGACUCUGGGACUUUUUGUCCUCCAUGCCGCUCACCAGAAAAGGAACUGUGAACUAUCCUCGAUGUGAAUCAAUCCCAUGAUGCAACAUGCCUCCCCAGCCCCCGCUCUGACGAUGAUGGCCACGCAGAAUGUCCCUCCCCCACCCUACCAGGACAGCCCGCAGAUGACGGCAACCGCUCAGGCACCCUCCAAGGCCCAGGCUGUCCACAUCUCCGCACCCUCGGCUGCUGCCAGCACGCCUGUGCCCAGUGCCCCCAUUGACCCCCAGGCCCAGCUGGAGGCUGACAAGAGAGCUGUGUACAGGCACCCUCUUUUCCCGCUCCUGACGCUGCUGUUUGAGAAAUGUGAACAGGCCACCCAGGGCUCUGAGUGCAUCACCUCCGCCAGCUUUGAUGUGGACAUCGAGAACUUUGUCCACCAGCAGGAGCAGGAGCACAAACCCUUCUUCAGCGAUGACCCAGAACUGGACAAUCUGAUGGUGAAGGCAAUCCAGGUCCUGAGAAUCCACCUGCUGGAGCUGGAGAAAGUCAAUGAACUCUGCAAGGACUUUUGUAAUCGUUAUAUCACCUGCCUCAAAACCAAGAUGCACAGCGAUAACCUGCUCAGGAAUGACCUCGGGGGGCCGUACUCCCCCAACCAGCCCUCCAUAAACCUUCACUCACAGGACCUCCUGCAGAAUUCCCCCAAUUCCAUGUCUGGAGUCUCCAAUAACCCCCAAGGGAUUGUGGUCCCAGCCUCAGCGCUCCAGCAGGGCAACAUCGCCAUGACAACCGUCAACUCACAAGUGGUGUCAGGUGGAGCUUUAUACCAGCCAGUUACCAUGGUAACCUCCCAGGGUCAGGUGGUCACCCAAGCAAUCCCCCAGGGAGCCAUCCAGAUCCAGAACACACAGGUUAACCUUGACCUCACCUCCCUCCUGGACAAUGAGGAUAAGAAGUCCAAGAACAAACGAGGAGUCUUGCCCAAGCAUGCCACCAAUAUAAUGCGUUCUUGGCUCUUCCAGCAUCUCAUGCACCCCUACCCCACGGAGGAUGAGAAGAGGCAGAUUGCAGCCCAGACAAACCUCACCCUCCUGCAAGUAAAUAACUGGUUCAUCAAUGCCCGGAGACGUAUCCUGCAGCCCAUGCUUGAUGCCAGCAACCCAGACCCUGCCCCUAAAGCCAAGAAGAUCAAGUCACAGCACCGGCCCACCCAAAGAUUCUGGCCCAACUCCAUUGCCGCAGGGGUGCUGCAGCAGCAAGGUGGCGCCCCGGGGACGAACCCCGAUGGUUCCAUCAACUUGGACAACCUGCAGUCCCUGUCCUCAGACAAUGCCACCAUGGCUAUGCAGCAGGCUAUGAUGGCUGCACACGAUGACUCAUUGGAUGGGACAGAAGAAGAGGAUGAGGAUGAGAUGGAAGAGGAGGAGGAAGAGGAGCUGGAGGAGGAGGCUGACGAGUUGCAGACGACGAAUGUCAGCGACCUGGGCUUGGAACACAGUGACUCCCUGGAGUAG